UACGUAGGGUGCAAGCGUUGUCCGGAAUUACUGGGUGUAAAGGGUCCGCAGGCGGGCAAGCAAGUCGGUGGUGAAAUCUCACGGCUCAACCGUGAAACUGCCUUCGAUACUGCUUGUCUUGAGUUCGAGAGAGGAUGAUGGAAUUCAUGGUGUAGCGGUGAAAUGCGUAGAGAUCAUGAAGAACACCAGUAGCGAAGGCGGUCAUCUGGCUCGAUACUGACGCUCAGGGACGAAAGCGUGGGGAGCAAACAGG
rnacentral:rRNA from 1 species